CCUACGGGGGGCUGCAGUGGGGAAUAUUGGACAAUGGGGGCAACCCUGAUCCAGCCAUGCCGCGUGUGUGAAGAAGGCCCUCGGGUUGUAAAGCACUUUCAGUGAGGAAGAACGCCUGGUGGUUAAUACCCAUCAGGAAAGACAUCACUCACAGAAGAAGCACCGGCUAACUCCGUGCCAGCAGCCGCGGUAAUACGGAGGGUGCGAGCGUUAAUCGGAAUUACUGGGCGUAAAGCGCGCGUAGGUGGCUUGAUAAGCCGGUUGUGAAAGCCCCGGGCUCAACCUGGGAACGGCAUCCGGAACUGUCAAGCUAGAGUGCAGGAGAGGAAGGUAGAAUUCCCGGUGUAGCGGUGAAAUGCGUAGAGAUCGGGAGGAAUACCAGUGGCGAAGGCGGCCUUCUGGACUGAGACUGACACUGAGGUGCGAAAGCGUGGGUAGCAAACAGGAUUAGAUACCCCGGUAGUC
rnacentral:rRNA from 1 species